AUUGAACGCUGGCGGCAGGCCUAACACAUGCAAGUCGAACGAGUGGCGGACGGGUGAGUAAUGUCGGGGAAACUGCCCGAUGGAGAGGGAUAACUACUGGAAACGGUAGCUAAUACCGCGUACCAUCGGAUGUGCCCAGAGGGGAUUAGCUUGUAGGUGAGGUAAAGGCGUACCAACGCGACGAACCGUAACUGGUCUGAGAGGAUGAUCAGUCACAAUGGAACUGAUACACGGUCCAGACUCCUCCGGGGGGCAGCAGUGGGGAAGAUUGCACAAUGGGCGCAAGCCUGAUGCAGCCAUGCCGCGUGUAUGAAGAAGGCCUUCGGGUUGUAAAGUACUUUCAGCGGGGAGGCGUUACCCGCAGAAGAAGCACCGGCUAACUCCGUGCCAGCCGCCGCGGUAAUAC
rnacentral:rRNA from 1 species